GCUUGCUUCUCUGAUGUUAGCGGCGGACGGGUGAGUAACACGUGGAUAACCUACCUAUAAGACUGGGAUAACUUCGGGAAACCGGAGCUAAUACCGGAUAAUAUUUUGAACCGCAUGGUUCAAAAGUGAAAGACGGUCUUGCUGUCACUUAUAGAUGGAUCCGCGCUGCAUUAGCUAGUUGGUAAGGUAACGGCUUACCAAGGCAACGAUG
rnacentral:rRNA from 1 species